rnacentral:rRNA from 1 species
GACGAACGCUGGCGGCGUGCUUAACACAUGCAAGUCGAACGGUGAUGGCCAGCUUGCUGGUCUGAUCAGUGGCGAACGGGUGAGUAACACGUGAGCAACCUGCCCUCCACUCUGGGAUAAGCACUGGAAACGGUGUCUAAUACCGGAUACGACAACUGACGGCAUCGUCUGGUUGUGGAAAGAAUUUCGGUGGGGGAUGGACUCGCGGCCUAUCAGCUUGUUGGUGAGGUAAUGGCUCACCAAGGCGACGACGGGUGGCCGGCCUGAGAGGGUGACCGGCCACACUGGGACUGAGACACGGCCCAGACUCCUACGGGAGGCAGCAGUGGGGAAUAUUGCACAAUGGGCGCAAGCCUGAUGCAGCAACGCCGCGUGAGGGACGACGGCCUUCGGGUUGUAAACCUCUUUUAGUAGGGAAGAAGCGAAAGUGACGGUACCUGCAGAAAAAGCACCGGCUAACUACGUGC